GUGUCAGCCGCCGCGGUAAUACGUAGGUGGCAAGCGUUGUCCGGAUUUAUUGGGCGUAAAGCAUGCGCAGGCGGUUUUUUAAGUGUGAUGUGAAAUCCCAGGGCUUAACUGUGGAGGUUCAUUGCAAACUGGGAGUCUUGAGUGCAGAAGAGGAAAGUGGAAUUCCUAGUGUAGCGGUGAAAUGCGUAGAGAUUUGGAGGAAUACCAGUGGCGAAGGCGGCUUUCUGG
rnacentral:rRNA from 1 species